GGUCCCCUUUCUGCAACAGGGAGCUUUCUUCAUUCACUUAUUAAACUUUCACUCCAGCAUCACCCUUUGGGUCCAUACUCCUUAAUUCUCUUGGUCUUGGGUGAUACCUCACAAGGAGAGACUGCUACAUUGUGGUGCGUUGGUGAGACUGUAACAGACUCCUUUCCAAGUGUUUGGUGUCUGAGUUUUCAGAAGGUUUGACAUGCAUUUCUUCAUUUAAUGCUUAGAACAGACCACCACCAAUAACAACAACUCCACAUCUUAUUUUUCAGAUGGGGAAACUAUGAUUCAGAAUGAUAACAAUUAAUACAAAGCUGAAGCAAGAUUCAAAUCCAAGUCUUCUGACUUGAAAUCCUACUUUCUUGCCACUUUUUAAACUAUUUAUCUGAUGUUGGCAAUUCAUGGCAAUCAGCGGAUGGAUGAAGGGCUCUGGAGGUUUUGGUUACAGUCAGGGAGCAUUAGAAAGAACAAGUGUGCUUAGAUGAGGCGGGAAAGCCCAGGUACAUGAAGGAAAAUAAUAAUUUGCCUAAGUUGCCUAGUUUAAAAUCAUUUUUAAUUGGAAAGGUAUUUUUAUCUUCAUUUACAGAUGUGGAAACUAAGAUUCAGAAUGAUUAUUCAAAGAUCACAUAGCUAGUGGCAACCUCAAGGAUUGAAACCAGGUGUGUCUGUCUCUAAAUAUAGUGAUAAAAAGCAUGCAUUUUGGGUUGAACUCUGCUCUCCACAUAGAUCUUUGUCCAGCCUGCCCCCUAACCCUGGUGUCCUCAUGUGAAAUGAGGCUAAUAAUUGUCAGGCCUCUGAGCCCAAGCCAAGCCAUCACAUCCUCUGUGACUUGCACAUAUACGCCCAGAUGGCCUGAAGUAACUGAAGAAUCACAAAAGAAGUGAAUAUGCCCUGCCCCACCUUAACUGAUGACAUUCCACCACAAAAGAAGUGUAAAUGGCCGGUCCGGUCCUUGCCUUAAGUGAUGACAUUACCUUGUGAAAGUCCUUUUCCUGGCUCAUCCUGGCUCAAAAAGCACCCCCACUGAGCACCUUGCGACCCCCUACUCCUGCCUGCCAGAGAACAACCCCCUUUGACUGUAAUUUUCCCUUACCUACCCAAAUCCUAUAAACGGCCCCACCCCAUCUCCCUUUGCUGACUCUCUUUUCGGACUCAGCCCACCUGCACCCAGGUGAUUAAAAGCUUUAUUGCUCACACAAAGCCUGUUUGGUGGUCUCUUCACAUGGACACACAUGAAAUUUAGUGCCGUGACUCGGAUCGGGGGGGGGGUCCUCCCUUGGGAGAUCCAUCCCCUGUCCUCCUGUUCUUUGCUCCGUGAGAAAGAUCCACCUACGACCUCAGGUCCUCAGAUCGACCAGCCCAACCAAUAUCUCACCAAUUUUAAAUCAGAAGAAGGCAGGAAUGUCAGGCCUCUGAGCCCAAGCCAAGCCAUCACAUCCCCUGUGACUUGCAUGUAUACGCCCAGAUGGCCUGAAGUAACUGAAGAAUCACAAAAGAAGUGAAUAUGCCCUGCCCCACCUUAACUGAUGACAUUCCACCACAAAAGAAGUGUAAAUGGCCGGUCCUUGCCUUAAGUGAUGACAUUACCUUGUGAAAGUCCUUUUCCUGGCUCAUCCUGGCUCAAAAAGCACCCCCACUGAGCACCUUGCGACCCCCACUCCUGCCCACCAGAGAACAACCCCCCUUGGACUGUAAUUUUCCCUUACCUACCCAAAUCCUAUAAACGGCCCCACCCCAUCUCCCUUUGCUGACUCUCUUUUCGGACUCAGCCCACCUGCACCCAGGUGAUUAAAAGCUUUAUUGCUCACACAAA